rnacentral:misc_RNA from 1 species
GAUGAAGAACGCAGCGAAAUGCGAUAAGUAAUGCGAAUUGCAGAAUUCAGCGAGUCAUCGAAUCUUUGAACGCACAUUGCGCCCUUUGGUAUUCCGAAGGGCAUGCCUGUUCGAGCGUCAUUGCUGCCCUCAAGCACGGCUUGUGUGUUGGGCCUCCGUCCUCCUCCCGGGGGACGGGCCCGAAAGGCAGCGGCGGCACCGCGUCCGGUCCUCGAGCGUAUGGGGCUUCGUCACCCGCUCUUGUAGGCCCGGCCGGCGCUUGCCGACACAUCAAUCUUUUUUCCAGGUUGACCUCGGAUCAGGUAGGGAUACCCGCUGAACUUAAGCAUAUCAAUAAGCGGAGGA